CUGGCGCGCACCUGUUAAUAACCAAGUCUAAGCCAUGUCACAAAAAAGGAUUUAUCCCUCUGGUGCCGAAAAAAGAAAAGGAAAGAGGAAGAGAAAAAAGAGCAAGAUAAAGGAACACUAUUGAAGUACUUUGGAGAACAACCAACUUUACCUGCCCCUACUGUUUCGAGUGUCAGUGCCUCCACAGCUGAUGAUGCAGCAGGUUCAUCCACUGCACAAGCGACAUCAAGGGAGGAGCACUUACAUGUGACUGAAAGCGAGGAGCAGUUACAAGCACCUACAUUUACUGAUCCACUGGUUUCAAACUCAGCCGGCAUGACAGGUCCUUCUACAUCUGCACCCACUGCUAUAGAUUUCCCAUCUACUGCCUCAACAAGCUCCAGCUAUCAAGAUGGAUCAACAGCUCCUCCAAUAGACCCAGCUGAAUGGUCAGCAUUCCUCUCAGAUUCAGAAAGGACUGAUCUGGU